AGUGAACGCUGGCGGUAGGCCUAACACAUGCAAGUCGAACGGCAGCACAGUAAGAGCUUGCUCUUACGGGUGGCGAGUGGCGGACGGGUGAGGAAUACAUCGGAAUCUAUUUUUUCGUGGGGGAUAACGUAGGGAAACUUACGCUAAUACCGCAUACGACCUACGGGUGAAAGCAGGGGAUCUUCGGACCUUGCGCGAUUGAAUGAGCCGAUGUCGGAUUAGCUAGUUGGCGGGGUAAAGGCCCACCAAGGCGACGAUCCGUAGCUGGGCUGAGAGGAUGAUUAGCCACACUGGAACUGAGACGCGGUCCAGACUCCUACGGGAGGCAGCAGUGGGGAAUAUUGGACAAUGGGCGCAAGCCUGAUCCAGCCAUACCGCGUGGAUGAAGAAGGCCUUCGGGUUGUAAAGCCCUUUUGUUGGGAAAGAAAAGCAGCAGGUUAAUACCCCGCUGUUCUGACGGUACCCAAAGAAUAAGCACCGGCUAACUUC
rnacentral:rRNA from 1 species